AUAAUGUGUUUGUCUUUACCAAUUGAAUUGUAUAAUUUAUCUACAAAGCUGAUGGGGAAAUCAGGGUGGUUUUCCAAAAUAAUACACCAAACAUUGUUCAAAGUCUCAACUGACCAAAUCACUAAGCUAUAUCUCCUUCUAAGCACACACUGGGUAACAGCUAUCUUUCUUGAUGGAUGGUUACUUGGUCAGACAAAUUUAAUUCAUUAACCUACUAUUUCUUUAAGAGAUAUUUAAGUUUCAAGACAGCUACUAUCACAUUAUUCUAAUCCCACAGUGACCAUCAAAUAGUGGCCAUCACAAUGAUCACUGCACAGGGGUCAUCACACAUUGACAACCCCACAGUGUCCAUCGCACAUCACCCAGUGACCACCACACAGUGCCCAUCACACAUCACCCAGUGACCACCACACAGUGCCCAUCACACAUCACCCAGUGACCACCACACAGUGUCUACCACACAUUGACAAUCCCACAGUGUCCAUCACACAUCACACAGUGGCCAUCACACAGUGACCAUCAUACUUUGGCCAUCAUACAGUGACCACCACACAGUGAUCACUACACAGUGACCAUCACAGAGUGGCUAUUGCACAGUGACCACCACACAUUGACAAUCCCAUAAUGUGCAUCACACAUCACACAGUGUCCAUCACACAGUGUCCAUCACACAACGGCCAUCACACAGUGGCCAUCACACAUUUCACAGUGGCCAUCAUACUGUGAGCACCACACAGUGACCACUACACUGACCACCACACAGUGGCCUUCAUACUGUGGCCAUCAUACAUUGACCACCACACAGCAGCUAUCACACAGUGGCCAUCACACAUCACACAGCGGCCAUCACACAGUGGCCAUCACACAGUGGCCAUCACACAGUAGUCAUCAUAUUGUGAGCACCACACAGUGACCAUCACACAGUGCCCACUACACUGACCAUCACACAGUGACCAUCAUACUGUAGCCAUCACACAGUGGGCAUGACACAGUGGCAACCACAUAGUGGCCACCAUAAC
rnacentral:lncRNA from 1 species